AUGUUUUGGAUUGAUUGAGUUUUGUGGCUAUGACGUGAAGGAGCCUCACAUGUCAGGAUAAAAAUAGCUCUGGCCUCAAUAGACAGCCCGAGUUACAGUGCAACAGAACCAGAUGCGAAAACAUUAGCCACUAAGCUCAGACUCUACUUACAAGGUUCCAGCUUCCUUCUCUACCCCAUUCCCUGUUGUCCAACUGAAGAUUUGCUGCCUGGAGGAGGCAGGAAUGGCCAGAAGGAGGGAGUUGUGGAAUUGGAGGCAGCACCCCUUCCAUGGCUUCACGGAUGAAAGGACAUGACACCAACCCCUGCAACCUGGUCCUGGAAGUAACCGCCCAAGACAGGAGCUGGAACCUCACCCAUAUCUGGGAGGUUUUCUGCUGUUUGGCUCAUAAGACAAGAUAAUGGGUCAAAGAGGGAAGGGCUCAGGACCAAGGGACAUCCUUCCUGGACAAUGGGCCUGGGGAACAUCAGCUCACUCUUGGUAACCUGUUCCCAGCCAUCCUUUAUUUUGAUCAUCUCUCAUCCUUGAUGGGUACCUGCUGUUAGGGACUCAUACGUGAAUAAAACCUAGGUCUUGUAGCCUGAGAUGUACACAGCGCAUACAAGACAUUUGGUAAUCCUGAUAAAAUCUGAGUCUAGAAGCGGGGAUGAUCUGUGUGCUUGUAUUUCUAUGAC